GACGAACGCUGGCGGCGUGCUUAACACAUGCAAGUCGAGCGGUAAGGCCCCUUCGGGGGUACACGGGCGGCGAACGGGUGAGUAACACGUGAGCAAUCUGCCCUUCACACGGGGAUAACUCCGGGAAACCGAAGCUAAUACCCGAUACGACCACCUCAGGCAUCUGAUGGUGGUGGAAAGUUCCGGCGGUGAAGGAUGAGCUCGCGGCCUAUCAGCUUGUUGGUGGGGUAACGGCCCACCAAGGCAACGACGGGUAGCCGGCCUGAGAGGGUGACCGGCCACACUGGGACUGAGACACGGCCCAGACUCCUACGGGAGGCAGCAGUGGGGAAUAUUGGACAAUGGGCGAAAGCCUGAUCCAGCAACGCCGCGUGAGGGAUGACGGCCUUCGGGUUGUAAACCUCUUUCAGCAGGGACGAAGCGCAAGUGACGGUACCUGCAGAAGAAGCACCGGCCAACUACGUGCCAGCAGCCGCAGUAAAAC
rnacentral:rRNA from 1 species